AAGUCGUAACAAGGUUUCCGUAGGUGAACCUGCGGAAGGAUCAUUAACACGUAUCCAACGUUAAACCCCCCGUGAACCUUCAGUGCGCUCGCACUUUCUUAGAAAGGUAGACUUCUGCGUAGACUGUGCUUGAGCGUGAGGCAAGUGGCCUGGCAUUCCUCUGCUUGUUGGUGUCUGAAAGUGUCACCAGCUCUGUACGAAUGGCGCAGUCACGAUCGCUAGAGGCCGACACGGCCGGCGACCGGGUCACUGGGCGCGAGCCCCCCUCGUCACCUUUGCAUGAAAACGGGCCUGCGCUUAAUUGUGCGGCCACCAAACUCGAACAACUGUUAACAAUGGAUAUCUUGGUUCUC
rnacentral:misc_RNA from 1 species